rfam:Planctomycetes bacterium SM23_25 WORSMTZ_5072, whole genome shotgun sequence.
AAAGCGUCAUACGUCGAAGGGUUAGCGGCUCACGACGGCCCCGAGUCGUGCGGCGGCGCCCGCGAGGACGUCGUCGAAGCGUUGACAGGGCUGCGCGCAGCCUGGGUGUUCAGCCGCGAAAGGGACCAUCCUCCGGGGUGCCGACGCCGUCGGGAGAUGCGGAAGGCAACAUCCGGGGUGCCGCUAUCGCGAGGCACGGCGGGAGCCCGCGCGGUCAGAGACCC